rnacentral:rRNA from 1 species
UACGUAGGGGGGCGAGCGUUGUCCGGAAUCAUUGGGCGUAAAGCGCGUGUAGGCGGCCCGGUAAGUCCGCUGUGAAAGUCCAGGGCUCAACCCCUGGGAUGCCGGUGGAUACUGUCGGGCUCGAGUCCGGAAGAGGCGAGUGGAAUUCCUGGUGUAGCGGUGAAAUGCGCAGAUAUCAGGAGGAACACCAAUGGCGAAGGCAGCUCGCUGGGACGUGACUGACGCUGAGACGCGAAAGCGUGGGGAGCAAACAGG